UGAGCAGACUGGCGCAGUGAAAGCGUGCUGGGCUUAUAUCCCAGAGGUCCGUGGAUCGAAACUCCACUCUGUUGAU